GACUGAGACACGGCCCAUACUCCUACGGGAGGCAGCAGCAGGGAAUAUUGCACAAUGGACGGAAGUCUGAUGCAGCGACGCCGCGUGAGUGAAGAAGGCCUUCGGGUUGUAAAACUCUUUUGAGGGGGAAGAGCGAGGACGGUACCCCUGGAAUAAGCGUCGGCUAACUACGUGCCAGCAGCCGCGGUAAGACGUAGGACGCGAGCGUUAUCCGGAUUUACUGGGCGUAAAGCGUCUGUAGGCGGAUGUGUAAGUUGGGCGUGAAAGCUCCGGGCUUAACCCGGAGAGGCCGUUCAAUACUGCAUAACUUGAGGGUGUCAGAGGGGAGCGGAAUUCCCGGUGUAGCGGUAAAAUGCGCAGAGAUCGGGAGGAACACCAGUGGCGGAGGCGGUUCCCUGGGGCACGCCUGACGCUGAGAGACGAAAGCUAGGGGAGCGAACAGGAUUAGAGACCCUGGUAGUCCUAGCCCUAAACGAUGAAUGCUAGGUGUGGGAUCGAAUGGUUCCGUGCCGGAGCGAACGCGAUAAGCAUUCCGCCUGGGGAGUACGGCCGCAAGGUUAAAACUCAAACGAAUUGACGGGGCCCCGCACAAGCAGCGGAGCGUGUGGUUUAAUUCGAUGCUACACGAAGAACCUUACCUGGGUUUGACAUGUAGGUGGUAGUGAAUCGAAAGGUGAACGACCCUUCGGGGAGCCUACACAGGUGCUGCAUGGCUGUCGUCAGCUCGUGCCGUGAGGUGUCGGGUUAAGUCCCGUAACGAGCGCAACCCUUGCUCCUAGUUACAAGUGUCUAGGGGGACUGCCGGCGGAAAGCCGGAGGAAGGUGGGGAUGACGUCAAGUCAGCAUGGCCCGUAUAUCCAGGGCUACACACACGCUACAAUGGUCGGUACAAAGGGCAGCGAAACCGCGAGGCGGAGCGAAUCCGAGAAAAGCCGAUCGUAGUUCGGAUAGCAGGCUGCAACCCGCCUGCUUGAAGCUGGAGUUGCUAGUAACCGCGCGUCAGCCAUAGCGCGGUGAUACGUUCCCGGGGCUUGUACACACCGCCCGUCACGUCAUGGGAGUCGG
rnacentral:rRNA from 1 species